GGAGAAAAGUAGGGGAUCGCAAGACCUCAUGCUCAUGGAGCGGCCGAUAUCUGAUUAGCUAGUUGGUAGGGUAAAAGCCUACCAAGGCUACGAUCAGUAGCUGGUCUGAGAGGACGACCAGCCACACUGGGACUGAGACACGGCCCAGACUCCUACGGGAGGCAGCAGUGGGGAAUUUUGGACAAUGGGGGCAACCCUGAUCCAGCAAUGCCGCGUGUGUGAAGAAGGCCUUCGGGUUGUAAAGCACUUUUGUCGGGAACGAAACGGUCCGGGCUAAUAUCCUGGGCUAAUGACGGUACCCGAAGAAUAAGCACCGGCUAACUACGUGCCAGCAGCCGCGGUAAUACGUAGGGUGCAAGCGUUAAUCGGAAUUACUGGGCGUAAAGCGUGCGCAGGCGGUUGUGCAAGACAGAUGUGAAAUCCCCGGGCUUAACCUGGGAAUUGCGUUUGAAACUACAAGGCUAG
rnacentral:rRNA from 1 species